GACAGAGGAUGCAAGCGUUAUCCGGAAUGAUUGGGCGUAAAGCGUCUGUAGGUGGCUUAAAAAGUCUCCUGUCAAAGAUCAGGCUUAACCCUGGGCCGGCAGGAGAAACUCUUAGGCUAGAGUUUGGUAGGGGCAGAGGGAAUUCCCGGUGGAGCGGUGAAAUGCGUAGAGAUCAGGAGGAACACCAAAGGCGAAAGCACUCUGCUGGGCCACAACUGACACUGAGAGACGAAAGCGAGGGGAGCAAAAGGG
rnacentral:rRNA from 1 species